rnacentral:lncRNA from 1 species
GCCGGGCGGAGAAGCAAAGGAGAGGGAAGCUGGAAGCACCUUUGGCCCGGGACAGAAAUCUGGAGAGCUUGGCUACCUCCAUCCUCCUCAGGCCGGAGCAGGCUUCCUGAGAGAGUCCAGGUCGUAGGAGUUUUACGACUUAGAAAAGCGGGCUGCAGAUUCCUUCCUGGGUGUUUGGUUCAAGCCUUGGCUCCAGCCUCACUCUCAGUCUUCCCGGGAGUUCGUGGGAUUUGGACCUUAGAUUAUUAGUAUUAUUUUGAGGGCCUCCUGUGUGUAAGCACUGGUUGUGCGCAGAUGGCUGUGCAGAGGGCCAUGAGGUAGAGGCUGGGGAAAUGAGGGCUUGGAGGUGCUUGAGGUAUGGUCUUUACCUACGUGAAAUGUUGGAGGUUGAGAUGAAAACUCUUGCUUUGAAUUCUUCAUGGAGGACUACAUCAUUUCAAUCCUGAAUCUGGCUCAAUUCUAUUAUUCACUUAUUACUGUAUUAAAAACGUUUAAUUGGCCAGGCACAGUGGUUCACGCCUGUAAUCCCAGCACUUUGGGAGGCCAAGGCAGGCGGAUCACUUGAGGUCAGGAGUUCGACACCAGCCUGGCCAACAUGGCAAAACCCCGCCUCUACUAAAAAUACAAAAAUUAGCCAGGCGUGGUGGCACGCACCUGUAAUCACAGCUACUUAGGAGGCUGAGGUGGCAGAAUUGUUUGAACCCAGGAGGUGGAGGUUGCAGUGAGCCGAGAUCACACCACUGCACUCAAGCCUUGGCAUCAGAGUGAGACUCUGUCUCAGUAAAAAAAAAAUAAAUAAAUAAAAAUGUUUAAUUAACCAUGAUAUUUGCUUUGGUAAAACCUUUGAGGUUUAAUGAGAAUUUUAAAAUUCAUUAUACUUUUCUUAUGGCAUAUAAAAGUUUUAAUUUUUUUUAUUGUCUCAACUAACAUCAUAAAUGUCUUAAUGUUAAAAUCCAUGGGAUAUUCUAUUUAAAAUUUUAGCUUUAUCACCUUUGUGCUAUCAGAGAAUGUGCUUUGAACUGGUAAAAUGAGUUAAAGUAUUGGAAAACACUUAUGUCAGCAGAGGCUCUUAAAAAUCAUUUUCAUCCUUCCUCUUCUAGUGAUGAUUUUUUUUUAACCCAUGUUUUCACCAGUCUACCAAUCCAAUGGCAUAAAUGCUCCUACAUAGGCAACUUAAGUGUUUCUUAAGUUGAUGCAAGGUAUUUUGCAUGAGGCUGAAUUCUUGUUGUCGGAGCAGAGGAUUUUUGUUCCAACUACUGAAUUGGCAAAAUGUUAAAUAUAAAAACACCUCAAAAAGUCAAAGGUAGUCUGAAUGAAAAAUUUAUUUUAAACACCUCAAGUAAUCUUUACAUUUCUACAAAAUCAUAACAUAGUUCUUUUCCAGAAACAUUUAUUCUUAAAAUCUACUUA